AAUCACAGUGCUAGUCACAAUUAGAAUACAGUCCUGUACUCAUACCAGCCAACAAUAUUGCCUCACACAUAUUAAGUGUAGCAAAAUACUGCAGUGUCUCAUAUCACAGUUUAUCAAGGGGAAGCUCCUGCAUUUCAUCAAAAGAAGUCGCUUCUACCAGCACAAAUAUGAAGUUGAGGCUCAUGUCCUGCAAAAUCUUACCAUUUUGCUAAAUGAUGACUAUGUGAUGCAGCCAUGUAGUCAGUGCCAUCCCCAGGAGGGAUUUGCAAUACAACAAAACCAUAUGAGUGUCUACUACUCCUCCUCCCUCCCUACAGCUUCCCUUCUCCACAAGAUCCUCCAGCACGCCUACUUUACAUGAUGUCAUCUGCGAAAGGCACAGCACAGUAACUGGCAACACCAGCUGCACCCAGUCACAUGUCUUCUGCUCUGCCCAUUUUGCCUGGUGUUUUCAGAGGUAGCUGCACAGAUUUUCCAUUAUGAUUUUUUGGGGGGCGAAGCCCUUGCGAGGCCUUCUAAUCCUUGAAUCUGGGAAAGGUUAUCUGGGAGAGGAGCUGGCAUUUCCUGCAGACUGAACCUCUAAUCCCCUGCACAUAGUUCGGGAAAUCCCAGGGGACAUUGGCACAAAAGCCUCUCAAGACCCAGAUUCAAGUUAGCCAGAGGCUGUACCGUAUUCCUUCAGCCAAAUACCAGACAAGUUUUUCUAAAAGUAAUGGGACAGCCUCCCUUUGAAGGCAGCAGACAAAGGAAGUAACUGUCUAACACUCCAUGAAGACCUCAGGAGUGCCAGGUGCAUAGAGAAAUUUUAAUAGAAAAGAAUGCUUGCUGUAUGAGGAAGCAGGAUUUCCUGACUUUUUGGAAAACCCAAUUGAAACAACAAGUUCCCAGUAAAACCCAAUUCUCUCAAUUUUUGAUUCCUUUGCAAACAGCUUGUACAAUUUGAGCACCGUGCUGAACAAUAUGAGAAGCUUUGAAGCAAGAUUGAAUUUCCAAACUCCAGCACACAUGCACACUGGUGAGAAUAAUGUGAGAAAGGCUGUGUGUACUAAGACGCUGGAUUUGUGCACCAAACUAGAUGUGUAAAUUUAACACCAUGAAUUUACUUUUAGAGAUAACAAUUACGCAUGCUCAUAGUGUUUGAUAAAACUCAUUAUUGUGCAAGUGAAAGAGAGGCUGGCUCCCUCCUAAUUAAAGUCUUGAGAGAAACAUUCCAGUUGCUUGCAGAGAAUACAUGUUGCCAUGGUGAUUGGUAUAAAUCUAGAAUGAACUUUCCUUUGGUUGUGGUGGCUGCAUCUUUGUGUACAUAUGCAGUAAAUUGCUUCUUUGCAUUUCAGUCUCAAACCUGGAAUUACCUGACUCAAGCACUCUAGUGACAACUCUAAGGCCUUCUACCUCCUUCUUGUCUCUCAGAGAGAAAAAGAGAGAGAAACCACGUGCAAGAGCAAGGAACUGCAAAUUCUGCUAGAUAAAAGAUUUCCCGCUGUUCCUCUCCCCCCUCCCACCACCAUCUUUUUUCUGCUAGAAUGAGAUUCCUUGUUGAGAAUCAAAUAUUGUGAAACCAAACACAAAGGAUUCUGCAUUUGCAUUUUUAUGCAACCGAAAAAGCAAGUUAUCAAGAGGAUUAUAAAAGCAGCAUGGUGUCAGCUUCCUAGAGCACAAACAGCAGGGGAGAAGAACUUUGUUUGGGGCCAGAAGAAUGCAUUUCAACAAUUUACUGGACUAUCAGAAGAAGAGAAUACGCCUUUGUUAUUGAUCAAGAGACAAAAAGAGGACAGCACUGUUUGUAUCUUUGAGUGGUGAAAGGUUUCUUUAGAACAGCUCUGAAGGACAGUGAACAGAAAAGGAGCAUUAUGAACACGGUACAUGUAAGGCAGCAGAAGUUACUCUGACCGUGACACUGUCACUUUUCAUAAAGGAUUCAAAUCCACCACUCUCAGCCUGGCAAAACCUAAUGGGUUAAUUCUCCAAAGACAUUAACAGGAAAGUUGCUUGAGCAAGGACUGCAGGACCAGGGCUUGAGUUUGGUUAGUUACAAGUCCUCCAUUCUGGUGUAAAACAGGUUGUAGGAGAUUAUAAAAGACUACUUAAAGAAAAUUAACGGGAUUUGGUAAACCUGCUACAUUCAUUUCAGUACAUAGAUUUUCUAUUUCUGCUGAAAUACAGCCAUUACUGCAGCCUCAUCCCUCCCAAAACACUUGAGGCAUUAACUAAUGGUCCAUGAAAAUAUGACCUAUCGAGACUAAUUGUUUAAUAAUGCUGCGGUGGGUGUCUUUGAUGAAUCAGAACACUCACUGUAAGUUACUCUUUCAAGAAUAUUGUUCAUGGCAGAGCGAUAAA